UACGUAGGUGGCAAGCGUUGUCCGGAUUUAUUGGGUGUAAAGAGCGUGCAGGCGGCUGGUCAAGUCCGAUGUGAAAUCUCCCGGCUCAACUGGGAAACUGCAUCGGAAACUGAUCGGCUUGAAGGUGGGAGAGGGUAGUGGAAUUCCCGGUGUAGUGGUGAAAUGCGUAGAUAUCGGGAGGAACACCAGUGGCGAAGGCGACUACCUGGCCCAUUCUUGACGCUGAGGCGCGAAAGCUAGGGGAGCGAACGGG
rnacentral:rRNA from 1 species